rnacentral:rRNA from 1 species
AUUGAACGCUGGCGGCAGGCCUAACACAUGCAAGUCGAGCGAGCGGCGGACGGGUGAGUAAUGCCUGAGAAUUGCCCAGUCGAGGGGGCUAACAGUUGGAGACGACUGCUACUACCGCAUACGAAUGUGCCGCCUAGGUGGAGUUAGCUAGUUGGUGAGGUAAUGGCCUACCAAGGGGACGAUCCCUAGCUGGUCUGAGAGGAUGACCAGCCACACUGGAACUGAGACACGGUCCAGACUCCUACGGGAGGCAGCAGUGGGGAAUAUUGCACAAUGGGCGAAAGCCUGAUGCAGCCAUGCCGCGUGUGUGAAGAAGGCCUUCGGGUUGUAAAGCACUUUCAGCGGGGAGGCGUUACUCGCAGAAGAAGCACCGGCUAACUCCGUGCCAGCAGCCGCGGUAAUUC